UGGGGAAUAUUGCACAAUGGGCGAAAGCCUGAUGCAGCAACGCCGCGUGAGCGAUGAAGGCCUUCGGGUCGUAAAGCUCUGUCCUAUGGGAAGAUAAUGACGGUACCAUAGGAGGAAGCCCCGGCUAACUACGUGCCAGCAGCCGCGGUAAUACGUAGGGGGCAAGCGUUAUCCGGAAUUACUGGGCGUAAAGGGUGCGUAGGCGGUUUAUCAAGUCAGGGGUGAAAGGCUACGGCUCAACCGUAGUGAGCCUCUGAAACUGGUGAACUUGAGUGUAGGAGAGGAAAGUGGAAUUCCCAGUGUAGCGGUGAAAUGCGUAGAUAUUGGGAGGAACACCAGUGGCGAAGGCGACUUUCUGGACUACAACUGACGCUGAGGCACGAAAGCGUGGGGAGCAAACAGG
rnacentral:rRNA from 2 species